AGUGAACGCUGGCGGUAGGCCUAACACAUGCAAGUCGAACGGCAGCACAGUAAGAGCUUGCUCUUACGGGUGGCGAGUGGCGGACGGGUGAGGUAUACAUCGGAAUCUACUUUUUCGUGGGGGAUAACGUAGGGAAACUUACGCUAAUACCGCAUACGACCUACGGGUGAAAGCAGGGGAUCUUCGGACCUUGCGCGAUUGAAUGCGCCGAUGUCGGAUUAGCUAGUUGGCGGGGUAAAGGCCCACCAAGGCGACGAUCCGUAGCUGGUCUGAGAGGAUGGUCAGCCACACUGGAACUGAGACACGGUCCAGACUCCUACGGGAGGCAGCAGUGGGGAAUAUUGGACAAUGGGCGCAAGCCUGAUCCAGCCAUACCGCGUGGGUGAAGAAGGCCUUCGGGUUGUAAAGCCCUUUUGUGGGGAAAGAAAAGCAGCAGGUUAAUACCCCGCUGUUCUGACGGUACCCAAAGAAUAAGCACCGGCUAACUUCGUG
rnacentral:rRNA from 1 species